rnacentral:lncRNA from 1 species
CCCCGCUGUCAGCGUUAUGGGGCCCCCCCCGCGUCCUCAAAGACACCCUUGGGCCACCGAGGUGGCAAAGGACCAAAGGAUGGGGACAGCUCGGCCUCAGCGCAUGGGUGGGUUGGAGUUGGGGAGGGGGCAGCAGGAGAGCCUCAUCCUGGCACUGCUGGAGGGUCCCCAGCUGGGGGUGUCCCUGGGGUGUCCCCCCCCGGCCACAUCCAGGGCUGGUGGCAGCUCCGGGUGCGUGCGAGGCCAGGGAGCCAAACGGGGAGCGAAAGAGAAAGCGAGCGGGGACGGGCAGGAGCCGCCCCGUUCCGGCAGCACCAAGCCUGGGUGAGGCUCAUGGGGCAUUUGGGGCAGUUUCCAGCCCUCUGUGGGGUCUCACCCAGCCUGGGGGGGCUAAAAGGGGCUGCUCCAUAGGGCUUGGCUGCUCCAGGAUCCCCCAUGGUGGGGUUUGGGAGCAUCUCCGCGUCCCACUCGUUCCCCAGCUCCCUUGGGGACGCAUCCAUGGGCACCGGCCUCGUCCCCUCCCUGUGCCACCCAGCACAUCCACGGUGAGGGCAGUGGGUGCCACCCUGGGCCUGGGGGUGUCAUUACCCCGUGGGUAACGGGGUUCCCGAGGCGCCCCAAAGCCUCAGAAGGAUGCGGGGACCUUGACUCCGGGGUGUUCCUGCCCUUUUAUGGUGAGCACGGGCAGGGACACUCGGGGACAAAGGUCUGCUCGCUGCUGGCACCCCGGCACUUCGCCCAGGGACGUGCACACCCUGUGCCCAGCUCCGCGGGGAAGGUCCCCUUGCCUGCAGCAGCCAGCACCAUGGUGGAGCUCAGCGCCCAGGUCACCAAGAAGCUGAACAUCACCACGCCGGGCAUCCAGAUAUGGAGAAUCGAGGUGGGUCCCGGGGGCUCUUUUUUGGGGGGGGGGCUGUGCCCUGUUUCAGGUCCCAAAGAGGAGGCAGGGUGCCGGGAGGGGGGCGCAGCGUGGGCACCCACCUCCUGCGCAUCCCCUGGGUGCCUCCAAAGGGGUCGGAGACC